GGAAAAAAGUGAAGAAAAAAAUCUAGAGUAUUCCAUGGAAAGAAUGUUGCAUGACUACUACAAGAGUCAGUCCAGGUUCCUGCUUGUUGAAUAUUUUUACCACAUAUUAUAACAGAAAGAUCAGAGCCUUUGGAGUCAGCAGAUCUUGCUUCAAGUCUUAGACCUGCCCCAUACAAGAUAUCUCUUCCUGAUGACUUUCCAAAAUGGAACGCAACGUGGUGGAGUGUAUGGAAAUUCAGGGAGCUUGGAUUUGAUCUUGAUUUUGCUAUUAGCUGGCUCAGUGACCUGGGGCCACUGAAGAAAUCAAAUGAGAGACUUCCGUGAAAAUGCUCAGGAAACGGCAAAGCUCUAUUUUGUUACUACCGUUGGGAAGCAUUUAUUUCACAGAAGCUCCCUGAAGGAAGGUAUGAUGUCCAUCUUGUCUGCUUGAGAAGUAUAAUGUAGUGAUUAUAAUAGAGACU